rnacentral:tRNA from 1 species
GCCGCUAUAGCACAGUGGCAGUGCACUUCAUUGGUAAUGAAGAGGUCGUAGGUUCGAUUCUUACUAGCGGCACCA